rnacentral:rRNA from 1 species
UCCUUCGUAACGGGAGGCAGCAGUGGGGAAUAUUGCACAAUGGGCGCAAGCCUGAUGCAGCCACCCCGAGUGAGGGAUGCCGUCCUUCGGGUUGUAUACCUCUUCCAGCAGGGAGGAAGUGGAAGUGACGGUACCUGGAGAAGAAGCACCGGCUAACUACGUGCCAGCAGCCGCGGUAAUACGUAGGGUGCGAGCGUUGUCCGGAAUUAUUGGGCGUAAAGAGCUCGUAGGCGGUGUGUCACGUCCGCCGUGAAAACCUCCGGCUUAACCCGGGGUUGCGGUUGAUACGGGCAUCACUUGAGUUCGGUAGGGGAGAUUGGAAUUCCUGGUGUAGCGGUGAAAUGCGCAGAUAUCAGGAGGAACACCGGUGGCGAAGGCGGGUUUCUGGGCCGAUACUGACGUUGAGGAGCGAAAGCGGGGGAGCAAACAGGAUUAGAUACCCUGGUAGUCCACCCCGUAAACGUUGGGCGCUAGGUGUGGGGUGCUUCCACGUUUCCGUGCCGUAGCUAACGCAU